GCCUGCAUAGCUCAGCUGAUAGAGCGUCUGUCUUGUAAACAGAAGGUCGGGGGUUUGACUCCCUCUGCAGGCU
rnacentral:tRNA from 1 species